rnacentral:rRNA from 1 species
AUUGAACGCUGGCGGCAGGCCUAACACAUGCAAGUCGGGCGAGCGGCGGACGGGUGAGUAAUGUAUGGGGACUGCCCGAUAGAGGGGGAUAACUACUGGAAACGGUGGCUAAUACCGCAUACUAUCGGAUAACCCAUAUGGGAUUAGCUAGUAGGUGGGGUAAAGGCUCACCUAGGCGACGAUCUAUAGCUGGACUGCGAGGGUGAUCAGGCACACUGUGAGUGAGACACGGCCCAGAAUCCUACGGAGGCAGCAGUGGGGAAUAUUGCACAAUGGGCGCAAACCUGAGGCAGCCAUGCCGCGUGUAUGAAGGAGGCGUUAGGGUUGUAAAGUACUUUCAGCGGGUAGGCGUUACCCGCAGAAGAAGCACCGGCUAACUCCGUGCCAGCAGCCGCGGUAAUAC